GCCAGGGGUGGUGGAAGCUUUAAGCCCGCUAUGAAUCCGACCUGCAGGUGGGCCAGGGCUGUCUUUCUGGUUCUUCUUCCAGGCACUUGCAGCCAGAAUGGCUCAGUUGCUGUUCAGUUAUUGCAGUGACAGGAGUUGAACUUUACCCACCGGGAAAGCCUUGCUGAAAUUCUCCCUCUCUACCUCAGAAUGUGGCCUUGAAGUGACACAUGAAGUUACAAGUUAGGAGGGCCUAAUCUGAUAGGAGUGUUGUCCCUGUGAGCAGAAAGCUGGAUGCCAGAUACACCUGUGGCCACCAGUUGCUGCAGAGGAGGAGACACACCUCUGAGCAUGGCUGGGCCAAUUUCCAGAGGGUGAACCGAGGACCAGACCCUCUCUGAAUGUGGGUAGUGCGAAGUCCAAGAACUGAGGUCUCAAAUGGAAUGCAAAUGGAACAGAGGAGAAGAUAAAUGGAGCACCAGCAUUCAACUGUCUCUGCAUCCUGGUCAGCUGCUUCUGCUGCCAUGCCUCUCCAGAUGGAGAGUAUUUCUCUGAAAUCAGAGAGCCCCUCCCAGCCCUUCCUCCCUCGACUUGCUUGCUUUCAGGUAUUUGGUUACAGCAAUGAGCAGAGUGACCAACACACCUCCUCAGCACUGUGCUCAGACAGACACAGGAUGGAACAGUCUCUAUAAUAGCCAUGGCCAUUGAAGUGGAUUAUAUAGGACUGAAAAGGGUGAGCAAGGGAGAGUGAGGACAGUGUUCUCACACAGAGCAUGUCGUAAACCAGGCAUGUAACUCUUUUAGCAGAACUCAGUGCUCCUUGCUGGGAAGGAGGUUAAGAACUGUUCAGGAUCGGGAACUGAGUAGCAAGCAGAAGGUACUGUUCUCUGACCAAGGACUGGGCCUGUGGAAGGAAAGGAUCCUAGUAUGACUUCCUGGGUUCUUCCAUGAACCAAAGUACCAAUCUUCCUGUCCUG